AGGCCGCGGGACUACUUUCUCCCGGCGCCGGGGCCCCGCCGGGGCCCGCGCGCCCCCCGGGCCGGCGGGCGGCCCCUGCCCCGGCUGCCGCUCCCCGCGCAGCCCCCGCCGCGGCCCGGACCGCGGCCCGCUCGGUGCGCUCGGCGGGGCCGCUGUCGGCGGCCGGUAUCCCUCCGCCGGGGUCGUCACCCCGGGUCCGCGAGAAUGUCCGCCCUCGGGGCGGGCGGGGGGCGGCGGGGCCGCGGGUCUGCGCUGGCACCGGCGGCGGGGGUCGGACCCUGCCCGGCACCGCGGCGCCGCCGGGGCUGCUCCUUUAAGAGGGGGCCGGGCCCGCCGUGACCCCGCGCGAUGUCCGCCCCUUCCUGGUUGCCAUGGGGACCGCCCGCCGGCGUCCAAAAUGGCGGCGGCGGAGCCGCGCGGAGCUGCUGCUCCUUCCUCCGCCCGGGAAAGAAGGAAGGCGACCGGGGCCUGUCCCCGGCUCCUGAGGCAUCAGCGGCUUUAGCGAGGGCUUGUGCUUGAGCAAGGAGCUCCUUGCCUGGGCAGGACGGGGGUCGCCUGUUAACGCCGGGAAGCGAGCCGGGAGGCGCCUCCAGUAAGUGCUGCAGGCCGGGCCUCCUGAGGGCUGGGAACGCUGGGCCGCGGCCCGGGGAUGUGGUGUCGGGAAAAAUUGCUGCACAAUGACUGGGAAAUGUAUGCUUUUGAACAGCUGAAGUCUUGUAAUGGGCCUGUCCCAUUGACCCCAUGGGAAUCCUAUCAGUGCCCUGCUUGUUCAUGGAAUAUGUAAUUCAGUGUUAUGGGGUAUUUACCAUUCAUUUUUGCACUCAGAUAAUAAAAGUAAGAUGUCCCUUUUUA